UCUGUAGGGACACUGAGUCUGGAGGGACACUGAGUCUGGAGGAACACUGAGUCUGUGUUUUUUCUCUUUUAGAAGUGGUCAACCUAUUGGUUCAGGCUCCAAAACACAACAUUAUUCUUCUACACUAAGAAACAUGGGAGUGCUUCACACCUAAGAGGCCUGUACUACAUCUACACUGUGCAGUCCGUGCGUGAGAUCCAUAGGGAGAAGCGUAAGCACUACGUGUUUGAAAUCACCAUGAAGAAUGGGAAGAGGAAAGUACUGGUGAGUCACACAGACAGCUCUACUCCCACUUCAGGUGUACAGAACAGUGUGGUGUGGGCUGUACAGGCUGCCCUGUUGUUUCAGGAUGUGGUCUGUUACCAGUGUCACUACAGAACCGUGUGGGCGCCGAUGCCUGUGUAGGUUUAACAUGUAGUUUCAGGAUGUGGUCUGUUACCAGUGUCACUACAGAACCGUGUGGGCGCCGAUGCCUGUGUAGGUUUAACAUGUAGUUUCAGGAUGUGGUCUGUUACCAGUGUCACUACAGAACCGUGUGGGCGCCGAUGCCUGUGUAGGUUUAACAUGUAGUUUCAGGAUGUGGUCUGUUACCAGUGUCACUACAGAACCGUGUGGGCGCCGAUGCCUGUGUAGGUUUAACAUGUAGUUUCAGGAUGUGGUCUGUUACCAGUGUCACUACAGAACCGUGUGGGCGCCGAUGCCUGUGUAGGUUUAACAUGUUGUUUCAGGAUGUGGUCUGUUACCAGUGUCACUACAGAACCGUGUGGGCGCCGAUGCCUGUGUAGGUUUAACAUGUAGUUUCAGGAUGUGGUCUGUUACCAGUGUCACUACAGAACCGUGUGGGCGCCGAUGCCUGUGUAGGUUUAACAUGUAGUUUCAGGAUGUGGUCUGUUACCAGUGUCACUACAGAACCCUGUGGGCGCCGAUGCCUGUGUAGGUUUAACAUGUAGUUUCAGGAUGUGGUCUGUUACCAGUGUCACUACAGAACCCUGUGGGCGCCGAUGCCUGUGUAGGUUUAACAUGUAGUUUCAGGAUGUGGUCUGUUACCAGUGUCACUACAGAACCCUGUGGGCGCCGAUGCCUGUGUAGGUUUAACAUGUAGUUUCAG